GGGGAGGAGAAGGAAGCAGAGCGCAUUCACAAUUUUCAUUCAAACUGACACAGCCUGUGUGUCCCGGUUUGCACUCCCCACUCCCUCUCUCUCUCUCUCUACACACACACACACACACACACACAGAGCCAGAAACACCAAUCCGUCUGCAAUUAAGUUAACAGCAGCUAGAGGACGGCUUCAAGAAGAGUGAGAGACCGGGACGAGAAAACCCGAGGAGACCGGCGGAAGGGGUGAGAAUAGAAAGAGGAGGAAUGAAAUUCACAAAGAGAUGUCAGGGUGGAAGGUGAGUAGGGAGAGGACGAAGAGUUUUAAUAUAGAAGAGAGAAAAAGGGAGGUGGAGGAAUGCAGGGGUGGAACGGCUGAGCUCGACGUAUGGAGGGGGCAGAGAUCGACUGGAGCCAGACUGGGUGUAUGCAUCUGAGAGAGUCACUGUGGUGGUGAUAUUCAGUGCCAGAGGAGGUUGCCCUGGAUACAGACAAAAUAAUCUCUGCAUGCUUGCCUGCAAAGCACUAUGGGACA
ensembl:lncRNA